rnacentral:rRNA from 1 species
GAUGAACGCUGGCGGCGUGCCUAAUACAUGCAAGUCGAGCGAAUGGAUUAAGAGCUUGCUCUUAUGAAGUUAGCGGCGGACGGGUGAGUAACACGUGGGUAACCUGCCCAUAAGACUGGGAUAACUCCGGGAAACCGGGGCUAAUACCGGAUAACAUUUUGAACCGCAUGGUUCGAAAUUGAAAGGCGGCUUCGGCUGUCACUUAUGGAUGGACCCGCGUCGCAUUAGCUAGUUGGUGAGGUAACGGCUCACCAAGGCAACGAUGCGUAGCCGACCUGAGAGGGGGAUCGGCCACACCGGGACUGAGACACGGCCCAGACUCCUACGGGAGGCAGCAGUAGGGAAUCUUCCGCAAUGGACGAAAGUCUGACGGAGCAACGCCGCGUGAGUGAUGAAGGCUUUCGGGUCGUAAAACUCUGUUGUUAGGGAAGAACAAGUGCUGGUUGAAUAAGCUGGCACCUUGACGGUACCUAACCAGAAAGCCACGGCUAACUACGUGCCAGCAGCCGCGGUAA